rnacentral:misc_RNA from 1 species
AACGCACGAGACCUGCGGACCUGCGGAAGGAUCAUUACUGAAGACCAUGGGGUCUGAGACUGCGUCCUAAUGGCGUGUGCUCGACUCUACUCUUUAUCCAUACACACCUUUGUGCACCAUGGGACGAAAGUCCCCCUUUUCACACAAACACUAAAGUUAUAUGCAUGGUAACACUCUACGGAGUAAUGUACAACUUUUAACAACGGAUCUCU